rnacentral:lncRNA from 1 species
GAUUUAAUUCGAAAAGUGUGGUACUUAUAAAUAAAAGUAAUAUGACAUUGCCGAGUUUUCUAUAAAGAUUGGAAAUUGAUUUAAUUCAUAAGAUCGAGAUCUUAUAUGGAGAAUGUCCAACAAAAGUGAUGUAGAAGAAUUUUAGAAUUUUGAUUGUUCACCGUAUGUGUCACGACCCGGUACUCUCCUCGAGCCAGUGACAACCGUCGCGAUGUUCCGAUAGACAUUUAUUACCCAGAAUGCCAAUCGAAACCCCGCAAGGCUUUAAUAUCAGUUUUCGCACCUCCCUUGUGAGCAACAGUUGUUAAGUAUCAUGUUUUGAGAGAUUAUAAACUAUUUCCAAAUCAAAACAAUAGAAAAAUAAUUUUUCACUCACAGGGGCAUUUUGGUCAUUUUUUCUUGAAAGUCUCGAAACCAGCUAAAAAUGUAGUAUGCAAGUGGAAAACACAUAUUUCAUAAUAAAAAAUAAGUUUAGAUGUCUAAAACAUUCAUUUAAAGCGAAACUAUAACUAUUUGAAUAUAAUAAAAAUAUUCAAUAAAAUAUUCUAUUUUCUUAUAAAAUAAUAUUUAUAUUUACCGAUAAAUAAUUUUUGUAGCUUAAAAGCUAAAUAAAUUCAUACAUACUGUAAUACAGAUAACCAAAGUAUAAAAUUUAAUUUACAGUGACACGUGGGCCCACGAAUGACCAAAAGUAUCAAAAGCGGUAAACCUACAGUUUUUGAGGAUGCUAAUCCAACUGUAGCGCUCAACAAAGUGAGCUAUCUAUCAACUAUCUUGAGUCUGAAAUGGGUGGAAAGGAGGGUGGUGAGAUUAUAUAAUCCAAGUGAGUAAACAAAUACCAUCUAAAAUAUCUAAAGCUGAGUAAAUGGAGACAGAUAAAAUAGUUUAACAUACUGUAAUUCAUCAACUUCCAACUCAUUUCAACCAAAUAAAAUCAAUUCAUAUAAAUCGAGUAAUCAACAUGGCUUAUGAAUUUCUUAAAACCUUGGCUCGUGCCAAAAUCAUUCUCAUACUCAGUUAUUAGGGAUACCUUGGCCGAGGGCUAUCCCAACCGAGUCCGCCAAGACUGUUAAAAAGUCAUGUACGCAUAAAUCAUGUUUUUAUUUUGAAAACAUAGCCGUUCCUAAGCGUUGGCUGAGUUCUCCCUCACGUGGUGGUUUGGCGUGAAGUGAACUCUAAAAGUGUACCUCAGGAGUUACCCUACACGCCUCUCCAAUCGAGGUAAGAAUAUAACAAGGUUACCGUGCCCCUCUAAUAAGCUGGUCCACGGAACCCACCCACUGCAGCUAUCUAAACCCACCAAUUCAAUAAAAUCUCAACCGCAUGACAUGGCAAUUAUAUCACAAUCCAGCCUCUCAAGGCUAAAUACACAGUUCAUAUAUUUUCAGCACAUUUACCAAUUCAGCCAUUCAUGCAAAUAUUGUCAUAAGCCAUUCGAUUCGAACCAUGAAUUUACAACACAUGAAAACAGUCUAUAAUUACUCUAUUUUCAAAACCAUCAUUCAAUCUCAAGACAAUUUUAUAAAAUCAUUUUCAUUUAAUCUCAUUUUGCUUGUAAAAUACAAAGAUUUACCAUUUAAACUCAUUUUCCAUAAAAUUACAAAAUCGGAUAAAACCACUUUAGAUAAUUAAUAUGAUAGUAAGGUUACUCACUAUUUCGGGAGUCGAAUUCCGAGUACUCCGAUUCUUGAUCCUCGGGUACUAUCUCUUUACUUUUGCCAGAAUGCUCACUACCUAGACAUAAUGCACAAUAAGCCAUUUACUACAUUUGUGCUAAAUUAUUAUAAAACCAAUUCAGGCUCUAUACUAAUGCAUGAAAUGGGAUAUGAAAUACUCGGGUAACUAUCUAAAUACGGUGUUCAAUAUAAAUUCAAUUAUGUACCUAAAUAAAAUGGUAUUGGCCUAAUUUGAUUUAUCACCCGAUUAAUUGGCCAAUACGUCCAAUUCAACUCCAAAUAAUUCCAUUUUUCUUCCAAUACUCCAAAUCAUCAAACACAAAUUAAAUAACUUGAAAUAUGGCAAAAUUAUCCUCACAUUUUCUCUUGGAAAAUUCGACCAUGGUGGGUGCAUCAAUACUAUAAUUUUUCCUACUUAAUUCUCACACCAUAAAUCACUAAUUCCUAACCAAAUCACUUGAAAUAAAAUCAAAAUCAUCCUCAAUAUUCCACAUGGAGAAUUCGGCUAAUGAUGGGUGAUGGAAGAACAUGAAUUUUUCUUGCUUGAUUUUCAUGCUACACAUCACCAAUCAACUAAAAACACUAAAAUACAUUGAAAUCUAACCAAAUCAAGCAUCAAAACCUCUCUCUAAGUGUUCAGCCAGCAAGAUACCCAUCAUGAAAUCAUGUGAUUCAACCAUGGAAAAUGCAAAAGAAUGUAUGGGAAAGGUAGAUCACAAGUCAAAAUCAAGAAAUUUUACCUUUGAUUGCUUGAUUACUUGAAAUUCACCAAAUUUUCUCUUGAAUUUUCACCCUAGGGUUCUUGUUCUUUCUUUUCUUCCUUUGUUCUUGCUUUGGCCGGUCAUAUGAAG